UGCAAGAGCUUUGAAGAAUAAGGACUUACACGAAUGGAAGGAUGCCUUGAAGGAACUAUCUAGGGUUGAUAAUGAAGGAAUUCAGGCAAAAGUGUACUCAGCGCUGGAGUUGAGCUACAAUCAUCUAGCCAGUGAUGAAGUCAAGUCAUUUUUCCUGCUUUGUGCUCUAUUUGCUCAGAGUGAUAUUCGAGUCAGAGACUUGUUGUUGUACGGUAUCGGUUUGGAUUUGCUUAGAAGCAAAAAUACAGUGGAGGACGCAAGAAACAGAGUAGAUAAAUUGAUAAGUGGCCUCAAAGCCUCUUGCUUGCUACUAGACGGUGAAAAGAAUGGGUCGGUGAAAAUGCAUGACGUUGUUAGA
rnacentral:misc_RNA from 1 species